GGCAGUUCUCAGGUGACGCAUCGCGGAAUCGGGCUCCCUCCUCUCUGGUUCCAGGUGCGUCAACCGAGAAACACA
rfam:Myotis davidii contig198304, whole genome shotgun sequence.